UGCAUUCACUACUGUAUCGCUCUGGAUAAGAGUGUCUGCUAAAUGACUAAAA
rfam:Salmo salar isolate Sally breed double haploid chromosome ssa21, whole genome shotgun sequence.